rnacentral:rRNA from 1 species
UACACACCGCCCGUCACACCAUGAAAGUUGUGCCUACCAGAAGUCGUUGCGUUGACCGUAAGGAGACAGACGCCCAAGGUAGGAACGAUGAUUGGGGUG